AUUGAACGCUGGCGGCAUGCCUUACACAUGCAAGUCGAACGGCAGCAUGGAAGAGCUUGCUCUUCUGAUGGCGAGUGGCGAACGGGUGAGUAAAGCAUCGGAACGUACCGUGUAGUGGGGGAUAACGUAGCGAAAGUUACGCUAAUACCGCAUACGCACUGAGGUGGAAAGCAGGGGAUCGCAAGACCUUGCGCUAUACGAGCGGCCGAUGUCAGAUUAGCUAGUUGGUAGGGUAAAGGCCUACCAAGGCGACGAUCUGUAGCGGGUCUGAGAGGAUGAUCCGCCACACUGGGACUGAGACACGGCCCAGACUCCUACGGGAGGCAGCAGUGGGGAAUUUUGGACAAUGGGCGAAAGCCUGAUCCAGCCAUGCCGCGUGAGUGAAGAAGGCCUCGGUGUAAGACUCUUCGGCUGGGAAGAAAGUACG
rnacentral:rRNA from 1 species